rnacentral:tRNA from 1 species
AAAAUAAUAUAUAAUAAAAUGUUAAUUUUAAGCAUUUAAAAUUAUAAAAAUAUUUAUUUUGUAACAUUUAAAUAGUUUCUACAAAGUUUCUUAAAAAUAAAAAUGUAUUUAUAUAAUAAUAUCUUAUUUAGCUCUAUAUAUUUAAUUAACAUUUUUUUUUUUCAAUUCAUUAAAAGAUUUAAAAAAUUGAUGAUUGUAAAAUUAAAGUUUAAACAACAUUAUAGUAUUAAAUUAUUUUA